UCGAUUUGGAGUUUGUUGCCUAGAGUGAUGGGCUCCGAAGCUAACGCGAUAAAUCGACCGCCUGGGGAGUACGGCCGCAAGGUUAAAACUCAAAUGAAUUGACGGGGGCCCGCACAAGCGGUGGAGCAUGUGGUUUAAUUCGAUGCAACGCGAAGAACCUUACCUGGUCUUGACAUCCACAGAAACUUGCAGAGAUGCGAGAGUGCCUUCGGGAACUGUGAGACAGGUGCUGCAUGGCUGUCGUCAGCUCGUGUUGUGAAAUGUUGGGUUAAGUCCCGCAACGAGCGCAACCCUUAUCCUUUGUUGCCAUUGGUUCGGCCGGGAACUCAAAGGAGACUGCCGUUGAUAAAGCGGAGGAAGGUGGGGACGACGUCAAGUCAUCAUGGCCCUUACGACCAGGGCUACACACGUGCUACAAUGGCGUAUACAAAGGGAGGCGACCUCGCGAGAGCAAGCGGACCUCAUAAAGUACGUCUAAGUCCGGAUUGGAGUCUGCAACUCGACUCCAUGAAGUCGGAAUCGCUAGUAAUCGUGAAUCA
rnacentral:rRNA from 1 species